AGUGUAAUGUUUAGUCCAGAAAGAAAUGAUCAACUACAAUUAAAAUUAAGAAUCCAAAAACAAUGAAAAUCUGAGAGAUCGAGAAGCUAGUAGAGAAAGUGAGAGAUGCAUCACCAACCAAUUUUUUUAGCAAGACUUCUCUGUUGCUCUAAUCAACAACAACAAAUUACAAGCCCUAAUUCCAUAUGCUCGGUGGUUCUAUUUUUCUUUCAUCUGUAUUUAAAUUGAUUAAAUUUUGAUAUCUUGUAGGUUGGGAUGAAGUUAACUAUCCAAAUUGAAUCAAAUUUUAGUCGAUUUAAAUUUGUAUUCAAUGAAAAUUCGCAGCUUAGGAUUUUGCUUUUAUAUGUAUUCAAUCCCUAAAAUGUUGUUUCACUGAUUCAGAGUAUCAUGCAGGUAGGGGUUCUUCUCUUGAGUUAAUUUUUGUACAAAUCUCUUUCAGCCCUGAUUUGAUUUGAGUGCAUGCUUUUCUCUCUUCUCUUUGUUGUAAAUGUCUUCUUUAUCUCCAUGCCUUGGUAAAUAUCAUGUUAUUUAUGGAUUUAAAUUCCUUGUUUAGUGAUUAGUGGGUGAUUUUUAGACAAUUUGUGAAGACUAAAUAUAUUUGCAUCUAUUUAAGUUUAGUUUUCCUUGAAUUGAUUUUCUUUGAACUAGCCAUAACCUGUUCGUUAAAAUUACCCAGUAAAUUUAAACCUCAAGUUGAUGUUGGUCAGCAACAAAUGAUAUACAACCAAAUGUACUUUAUAAUCUUAGAUUUUCUUUGAUUAACCACUUUGGAUAUCUUUGUUUUUAUACUUGCUUAGUAUUAUGAAAGAAAAGCUUAACUGGUUAAUUUGGUAGCCAUUUUUAUAUAUCCCUUUGUUUUAACUACUGGUUUGUUAUGGAUAUAAUACCCAUAGGUGAGACUGGUCCUCCCAAGUAGCAUAUGUGAAUUUUUUCACCACCAGUUGACAAAUACGUCAUUUCUACUGUUUGAAUGUAAAAUGGAUUUGUCAUGCUUUAUGUAAUUUCUGAAUUUGGACAUGCUCAUUCUUUAACUUUGAUUUAUAUUAAGUUGGUUUUGUCUUUCGGUACGUUAUUUCCGUGACCUCUAAUGGGUUGUGGCUCACCCCGUUUUGUUUUGUUUUCCACAGAAUACGAGGCAAGGUUGAGGCAGUAAGCUUGGGAAGAGCUUGCAGCUGGGAGUUGUGUUUUUGAUUGGAUUUAUGUUUUGGAUGAAUAAGGUCAGUUGGUGGAGAAAGAACAGUGAAGAAGUUGAGAUUAUCGAAAGCUUUAACUAUAGCUGAAGGAACGACUGUUUCUGAUGCUUGUCGAAGGAUGGCUGCUCGAAGAGUUGAUGCAGUGCUUCUUACUGGUUCAGGGUUAGUAUUUCUUUUUGUAAGUUUAUAUUUAUUGGUUUUGAAGGUACUAGUUUCAAUGCCAUUGAAAGACAAAUCAAGAUCGCAUUGUGAGCGCAUAUUUUUUCAGGUCUCUUUACGAUUUAAGUUUCCCUGUAGUUUCUUUCUUGUCGAACAGAGCUAAGUAUCUGUCAUAGUGGAGAACUGUACCGGCUUUGCGGUUAACCGUACUUUCUUCCCAUAUGGACAAGGGGCACAGCUUUUUGUACACCUGAGUGUGGAUUUGUUCAGGAUCGACAGAUUUUUCAGAGAGUUUGGCAUUUCUAUUGGACCUUUCCAACUACAGGACAUAGCUGGAUAUGGAAUUGGAAUUGCGACUGUUAAAGUGUUAGCCUCUGCCUUCGGAGAUUGAAUGCUCAAAAAGUCCAUUAAAUGAUAUUGUAAUGAAGUACGGGAGAAAUGAUACAGAGGAAAAUCAUGUAUUUCUUUUUAAUCUGAAGAUUUUGACAAUUACUCGGUGUUACCUUUCUAUUAUUCCCUAGCUUCUAUAACCAAUGCCUGUGAUGCUUAUUCGGCUUCGUACAAAGAUUUUGAUGUUUCAGGUAAACUAGAUGGUAAAGGGAAGCAGGCAAAACCCCGAUCCAACCGUACUUCCAAUCAUUGAGAAGUCUAGAAAGCUUGCUAAUAUUGUACCUGGUGGAAAGGUAAUGACACUGAUUGCUUAUGUGAUGGAGUUCGAAGGAAACUAUGGAUCACAUCUCAUUACUGUAUCUAAUGUUGUUUCGGUUAAUUGUUGGAUUCCCCCCACCCAACACCCAAGAUGUCUAAAAGGUCAGCAAAAAAAACUCAAGUACAAAACCCUAAAUCUGAACUUGAAAGAGGAGUACUACCAAUUUUAAUCAAGGGAUAAUGGCACCAGGUGGAGUUAGACCCCCUCGCACAUCACACGCAGCCUCUCAAUUGUCACGCACUGAUCUGCCAAAGAUUAACAAAGGAGGCAGAGGAGAUGCUCUUAAUGCAAAGCUUAAUGAUCACAUAAGGAAAAAGAAUGAAAAGCCUACAAUAACUAUCAAACCAGGUAAAAAUAUUCCAACUGUGGAUUGGGCCACUGAGUUCCAAACUGAAAUAGGAAUCAUAGUGAGAAAGUUUGCACCGUGGUCGACUCGCCCCAAAUGGAAGUCAAUUGGAAAAUCAGAUCUGAAGAAAUUUUAUGAUCUCAUAAUGGAAAAAUUCACUAUUGAUCUACAUGUAGUACGCAUUCAUAAGGCGGUCAACACAAUGCUAGCUAAUGAGUACAGACAAUUUAGAUGCACACUUCACAAACACUACCUGCAGUAAAAACAAGAUGGAACAGAACGGGAAAACCCGCAUCAUCAGGUUAAGCAGGAGGAUUGGGAGAAACUAUGCACUUGGUUUGAGUCUGAUGAGUUUCAGACAAGUAGCACUCAAGGUAAAAAAAGUCGAGAAGCGAAUACAACCAUUCAUUGUACGGGGUCAAAACCUUUUGCCUGCUAUAGAGAAAAAAUGUGUGAUCCAGAAACAGGUGAAGUUGUUGGACAAAUUGAAUUCUACAAGUUAACCCACUGCAAUAUUGAUGUUUGGACCUGUCAUACGGCGGAGGAAAACUAUGGUAAAAUGCUUGAACUCCGAGCUGCGCCUACACCUGAAGGUUCAACACCCUUGACCGAUGCUCAAAUAUGUGAGGAAGUGCUAGGUGUCAGAUCCGGUUAUGUCAAGGGUCUUGGUCAUGGGUAUGAAAAACCUAGCUCGUCUAGCAUCGAAUAUAAUGCGGAGUUAGGCGAAGCUCUUAGGAGGGCAGAUGAAGCAGAGAAGAGAAAUAAGGAACUUGAAGAAAGAGUUGAUGAGCAAAAUCGCACAAUACAGGGGCUGGUAACUGACACAAUGGAUAUCGUUUCUUUUCUUCAGUUUAGAAUGUUAAGUUUCUUAAUUAGUGGUGUCAUUUAAUGAACAAUGUAGAUCUUUUCUAUUAAUGAUUUGCUUCGAAAAAAUUUAGUAGUCUAACUUUGAUGAAUCACAAUUUCCAAGUAAAUAUGAAAAAUAUUAAACCUA